CUCAGUUUCUCUAAUUUGCAGUUUUCACUCCUCAGCCCCUCACACAGCUGAUCCACUCCUGAAUCCUCCAUGUUGUUGCUGCUCAGGUUCAGUUCAGUCAGUCGUGAGUGUGGAGAAGAAAGAGCUGAGGAGAGAGCUCAGCAACAUGUGGAGGUGAGACCACAACUAAACAGACUGUGGAGAUAAAGAGAGAGAAGUGAGGACAUACAAACAGACAGACAGACAGACCAUCGGUGGUCUCAAUAAGUGACAUGAUGACUACAAGCAGAGCUGGAUGCUCAGGUGUGUCACUGAACAGCAGGCUGCUGCUAACAUUUGAACUGAAACACAAUUUGAACUCCACACCAAUGCUGCCCUUCAAGGCGCUAUAUACCUGAAGCAUCUUCUGUCUG